UAAUGAUUAUUUAAUAGGUAAAACUAAUUUAUCUUUUUCCACACUUUAAUAGUGUUUUUGCUGGCUGCCAAAUUCCAUAUCCAAAACGAGAAUUCUUGACAGAAGAGGAACCAGAAGACAAAGCAGACAAAAAGAACCAACAGCAACAGCAGGGUAAUAAUCAUACAAAUGGAGGAGGACACACAGGGACCCAAGACAACAGUCAUGCACAAGGACCUCCACUGAAGAAAGUCAGAGUGGUUCCUCCUACGACUACCUCAAGUGGAUUGAUUAUGAGUUCUGAAUACCAACGCUCCAAUCCACAUGCUGCUUAUCAGAAUCCUGGACCAAGCACAGCACUACCCCAGAGUAGCAUGGGUUAUUCAUCUACCUCCCAGCAGCCCCCCCAGUAUUCUCACCAAACACAUCGGUACUGAUCUGUUCCCAGGGAAUUCCUGUGCAAAGUCAGAGGGGGGCUGCAGGACUAUACAGACAAGUCUUGAAACAAAGUGACAGAGAGACAGAGAAAAGCAGGCCAUUAUGUGGCUGUGAGAAUGUACUGUAAGACCAGACCCCCAAAAACGUUUCUGCUUGCCAAGUUUUUUCAUUGUCACAGAGCUAGUGGGGGCAUAGCUGUGAUUCCAGAAUGUCUGGUUAGACUUGAAAACAAUCAAACAAAACAACAAAGAAGACGAUUAAAUAAAAACGACUCAAAUAGCACUAGCACCAUUUUUGUCAUUGAUAUGCUACUUUUCAUAAUUUACUUUACCUGUUGCAGUCGGGCUUAAUUAAAUAUCAAUUUUCAGUCACAGACUUUAGCAGUUUAAAGCUGUGAAUGUGCUAGAGCAUAAGUGUGUUUUAUUGUUGAAGAUGAAUGUUCUUACUGAAAUAUCUGACCAGUCACACAGAUAAAAAAUACAUAAUCCUCCAAAUUGGUACUUGAAAUGUAAAUGUCUUGUUAUUUAACAUAAUUCACAAUCUCAGCCUGCAAAGAAAAAAUGAAGCAAAAAGCAACUAUACAGUAUAUAUGAUAGGAUUAUUGGUACUCAUUUAGUGACUUUGUGAAUUGGUUAAUUUUCACAUUUAUCAGUGUUUUAUGCUCAGUGUGGAGAUUUUUCUAUUGUUAAACAUUUUAUUUACCAUCUUCAGAUUAAUCUCCCAAAGACUGGCAAUGUACUUUUUUGUGUUUGUGUGUGCGUGUGAAUAAAUGAGUGUGAAUGCAAGCCUCUGCAUCUGUGAUCAUGUGUGUGUGUGCGUGCGUGCGUGGGUAUGUAUGUGUGCAUGUAAUAUGAGAAAUUGUGUGUAUACUGCCUUGACUCUGUUUCCUCUUUUAUUAUUUUUUUCUUUUUCUGUUACAUACAACUUGACUGAUAAUACAGCUGCUAAAUUACCAACAAUAAAUAAGAAUAAUAUUGUCUCUAAAACUUGUUUGUUCAUUUUGACAAAAAACAUUCAAAUGAUUGUCCUUACUGGUGUUACUUUCUUCUGGUGUUGCAGAUUUGUGAGCAUGUUUUCAGCAUGGAUGAUACGUCUCCCUCCAAACUGCUGCAUUCAAUUUUUAGAUUUUUUUUUUCUUUAUUGUUCAAUAAAGUCUUUCAUACUUUGUUUCAGAAUGUACUUAUUCCAACAAGUGCGAUCUUGGAAAAGCCUUAGUAGUCAAUUUAAAAAGGAAACAAAGUGUAACAUUCAUUGUACUGUAUUAAAAUAUUUUACAUGAAUGAAGUAAGUAUUCUGACAAUAAAACUUAAACAUUAUUAAA